UGCAAUUUUUUUUUGUGGUGCAGGUAAAAGCAAAGUGUGAUCGUGGAAUCAAAGCAAUGAAGAGGAGGAUGUUCUAAGGACUCGAUUGAAUGUUGUCUGGUUGGGUCGUUUCACUGAGAACCUGCAUUACUGUUUACAGUAAAAAGCAGUGUGGUGUUUUUUUUAAAAAAGAUUGUGCAAUUUGCCCAAUGGUUUGGUGAGUCUUCUAUUUAAUGUGUCAACAUACACUCACGACUUCCAUGGGGUAAAUGGGUGUGGGUUUAGUAUUUGCUAUUACUGGUUGUCUUGACUCUUGACUGUAUUUAUAUUUUGGGAGUCUAAAGAGGGCAAAGAGAAGGCGACUCAAUGAGGAUGCUAACGUUGAAGACAUUUGAUCAACUGCACCUUCUGCAAGCCAACUCUGAUUCUAGGACUAAUUAGAGAUGAGUUGAUAUUUUUUGAUUUUAUAACCUAUGAAACUAUUGGUUAGGUUAUUUUUUUUUGAUGUAACCCUAUGAUAUUUUGUCUACGUUUAACCUAGAUAACAAUCAAUUGUUAACUGUUUGGUUUA